rnacentral:rRNA from 1 species
ACUCCUACGGGAGGCAGCAGUGGGGAAUCUUGGACAAUGGGCGCAAGCCUGAUCCAGCCAUGCCGCGUGAGUGAUGAAGGCCUUAGGGUCGUAAAGCUCUUUCGCCAGGGAUGAUAAUGACAGUACCUGGUAAAGAAACCCCGGCUAACUCCGUGCCAGCAGCCGCGGUAAUACGGAGGGGGUUAGCGUUGUUCGGAAUUACUGGGGCGUAAAGCGCGCGUAGGCGGACCAGAAAGUUGGGGGUGAAAUCCCGGGGGCUCAACCCCGGAACUGCCUCCAAAACUCCUGGUCUAGAGUUCGAGAGAGGUGAGUGGAAUUCCGAGUGUAGAGGUGAAAUUCGUAGAUAUUCGGAGGAACACCAGUGGCGAAGGCGGCUCACUGGCUCGAUACUGACGCUGAGGUGCGAAAGUGUGGGGAGCAAACAGGAUUAGAUACCCUGGUAGGAUAGCG